UGGGCUGUUCGCCCAUUAAAGUGGUACGCGAGCUGGGUUCAGAACGUCGUGAGACAGUUCGGUCCCUAUCCGUCGCAGGCGUAGGAAAUUUGAGAAGCCCUGUCCUUAGUACGAGAGGACCGGGAUGGACGUACCUCUGGUGUACCAGUUGUCCUGCCAAGGGCAUGGCUGGGUAGCUAUGUACGGAAUGGAUAAGCGCUGA
rnacentral:rRNA from 1 species